UACGAAGGGGGCUAGCGUUGCUCGGAAUCACUGGGCGUAAAGGGUGCGUAGGCGGGUCUUUAAGUCAGGGGUGAAAUCCUGGAGCUCAACUCCAGAACUGCCUUUGAUACUGAGGAUCUUGAGUGCGGGAGAGGUGAGUGGAACUGCGAGUGUAGAGGUGAAAUUCGUAGAUAUUCGCAAGAACACCAGUGGCGAAGGCGGCUCACUGGCCCGAUACUGACGCUGAGGCACGAAAGCGUGGGGAGCAAACAGG
rnacentral:rRNA from 1 species